UGCAAGGGAUCGAAGGGGUGGAUCAAGAAGAUUGCUUGGGCCUAAAGCCCAAGCUUCCAAACAAUGACUCGGUUUACACAAAAUCACACAUCUUGGUCAAAUACAAACGCUCACAAACACUGCAUCAAGAACUCAGUAGCGCUUUCACAUGUUAUCUUCCCCUAAUACGAAAUUUCAAACAAAACCUGAAGAGAACAACUUCAAACCCGUGCUCCCACACCGAAAUCGGAUCAACGUCCAUCUUUGUUACUCAAUUCAACUUUUUUCGUACGGAUAAAGAGAAUGAAGGGAGAAAGACCUACCAAAAUGUUCGACACGGUGGCUCUAAGGUGGCGAUCUUUGGUUCUUCGUUUUUCGAUCUCUACUUGCGUUGUGCGUUCGUUCGAUUCGUGGUCGUUGCAUGGGUUGCAUCGUGAUAAUGAAUGGAUACUUGUGUUCGUUGUUGAUGGAAACGAAGAAUGUGGAUUCACAUUCAGGUUCGUGCAUGGAGAUGGAAAAUGAAGAUUCUCAUAUUUGUGCGUGUUGCACGGAGAUGAAGAUGAAGACGCUCCAAUUCGUGGCUUGCUUUGCAUUGUUGAUGACGAGGAAUGAAUGAUGGUUAUUGAGUUCUUCUAGUGCGUUGCGUUUUUGUUGAAAAUGAUUUCGCGUUUGUGUAUUCUGAUGAGAUUCGUGGUGCCUUUGCUUGUGCGUGGAGUGAAAGAGACUGAAGAAGGAAGAAGUGGCCUACCAGAUUCGUACUCCUACACUGUGGCUUAGGGAUGUUGGGACUCUGUUUGAAAUUGGAAUGGAGUUAUGGCUGGUGGUUGAAUUGAUUUCUGGAAAUCGGUUGAAGUGAGGGUGAGGGUGAGGUUCAGGGCGUUGAUAAUUGAUGGAGGUUUGGAAGGUUUCUGUUACAUUGAAUAUUCGGUUAGGGAGAGUUGAGAAAUUUGUUAUGAAGUUCUUGGAGGAGUGAAGAAUUUUGUUGUUAUGCAGGUCUUUUGGGUCAUUAUUGGUUAUGUUGAAGCGGUUGUGGAAGUUAUGGUUGGAGAAUGGAGAGGGAUUGGAGGAUGAUGAAGGGUGAGGUUGAAGAAGAGGGUUGGUUAGUUGUUGAAGAAGUGGUUCUGUUAGAAGGAAGUUAGGGGAAGAUGUUAUAGGGUUAUGAUGAAGUGGAAGGUUAUGGAGAGUUUUUGUUGGAGUUCCUUCAAUUCUGUUAUGGAGUUGUUGUUGAGAUUCUCAAGUGAUUGAAAAAUGGAAGUUAGAGGAAGUGAAUUUGGUUGAAGGGUUUGGUGGGAGUUUUGUUGAAAAGGGAGUGAAGUCGGUUGAUAGAUGAGGGAAUGGAGGGUUUGCAUGGUGAUUUUUCAGGAUUGGUUUUUUGAGAAGUUAUUGUUGAAGAGUUCUACAGGUUGCAGAAUUAUGGUUGAGGAAAUGUCAUUGGAGGAAUUGGUUGUUAGACAAUUAUGACGGUUAUGGUUCAAUUCGCCAAUUUUGGUUAUUUGGUUGAGGCGGUUAUAGGUUGUAGAUUCAGUUAGAGUGAGGUUGCAUUCCAAUUGAGUUUUCAUGACAGUUUCUCAGUUUGGAGUUUCUGUUAUGACACUUAGAAACUUAGAAUUUGGUUUUGGAGGUUAUGUGAAAUGUGGAUUUUUGUUGUUUUUUCACUUCAAUUGGGAAGCUUCAAUGUUAACCAUUUCCAACAGGUUAAUGUUCUUUAUCGGAAUGCAAAGGACCUUGAAUUUGCUAUCAUGGAGAUGUCAUGGGAUUGAGCUUUUUCUUGCUUGGACAAGGAUGAAAUGUUAUGGAUUUUGGAUGCUUGAUGGAGUAUGGCUUUGAAGCUUGGCUUGGAAUGCUUUUUUUGUUGUUGUAAAUUUCAUAAUCAAAAUUCAAGUUGUAUUUAAGUUGGAAAUGAAUGUAAAUGUAGGUAUGUAAAUUAAGUUUGAAAUUGAAUCUAUGUAAUUGGAAUAGAACAGUUGAAUGGUUGAAUGUACUUUUGGAUUGAACUAUUGGAUUUGUGAAUGGAAAUUGAAAAUGUAU